rnacentral:rRNA from 1 species
AAGUCCCGUAACGAGCGCAACCCUUAUCAAUAGUUGCCAGCGGUUCGGCCGGGCACUCUAUUGAGACUGCCGUUGACAAAACGGAGGAAGGUGGGGAUGACGUCAAGUCCUCAUGGCCUUUAUGUCCAGGGCUACACACGUGCUACAAUGGCAAGUACAAACCGCUGCAAACCAGCAAUGGGGAGCCAAUCGGAAAAAGCUUGUCUCAGUUCGGAUUGGAGUCUGCAACUCGACUCCAUGAAGCUGGAAUCGCUAGUAAUCGCGGAUCAGCACGCCGCGGUGAAUACGUUCACGGGCCUUGUACACACCGCCCGU